rnacentral:lncRNA from 1 species
GUAAAACGUUGACAUGGAGACAGGUGGCAGCCAAGGUAAGAGGCUGGGAACCCCAGAAUCAUGGCGUAGGCCUGGGAUGCCACACAGUGAGGAGUUCAAGGAGUUCCAGAUGAGGCUUCUGUCAGUGCUGCCACAUAGGACUUUGGAAGCAUCCCUUGGAGGCCCCAGAGGCCUUUGGACAAGCUGCUCAGCUUCUGUCUCAAAGCUUGGUGCUCACAGUGACUGUCCUCAGAACUUAGAGACUGGAUGGAAAGCAGCUGCAAAUGGUCGGUACCCACAUCAGAAUCCGUGUCAGCUGCAACCAAUGUUCCUCCUCAGACGGCAGCCAGAGCAGCACAUUUUGUGUGCCAGUGUAGGCAAGCACUCAUUGCCCGGGUCACAGACACUGAUGGGAU